rnacentral:rRNA from 4 species
CGGGUUGCGGACAGUGUCUGGUGGGUAGUUUGACUGGGGCGGUCUCCUCCUAAAGAGUAACGGAGGAGCACGAAGGUUGGCUAAUCCUGGUCGGACAUCAGGAGGUUAGUGCAAUGGCAUAAGCCAGCUUGACUGCGAGCGUGACGGCGCGAGCAGGUGCGAAAGCAGGUCAUAGUGAUCCGGUGGUUCUGAAUGGAAGGGCCAUCGCUCAACGGAUAAAAGGUACUCCGGGGAUAACAGGCUGAUACCGCCCAAGAGUUCAUAUCGACGGCGGUGUUUGGCACCUCGAUGUCGGCUCAUCACAUCCUGGGGCUGAAGUAGGUCCCAAGGGUAUGGCUGUUCGCCAUUUAAAGUGGUACGCGAGCUGGGUUUAGAACGUCGUGAGACAGUUCGGUCCCUAUCUGCCGUGGGCGCUGGAGAACUGAGGGGGGCUGCUCCUAGUACGAGAGGACCGGAGUGGACGCAUCACUGGUGUUCGGGUUGUCAUGCCAAUGGCACUGCCCGGUAGCUAAAUGCGGAAGAGAUAAGUGCUGAAAGCAUCUAAGCACGAAACUUGCCCCGA